ensembl:lncRNA
UCGUAACUGUGUCUUUAAGUACUAUUAGUAACAAUGCCAAUGCCAUUCCAAACCCAUAACACCAGAGUGGAACACAAAAGGCGUUUUGAGGUUUAGAGUCAUUGCCCAUGAUGGACCUCAUCUGUAUUUACUGUAUGGGGAAAAAAAGAGUUUAAACAAAAUGUAAAAACAUUUAACUAAAUAUCUUCUUUUGUGUUCUACUCAACAAAGUGAUUCAUGUGGGUUUGGAGUGACAGAAGAUUUAUUUAGCCCAUUUCAAAAACCUUUUUUUUUUUUCAUAAAUCACAAUUAUGACGUCACAAUUGGAAUGUCAAUGCCACGAUGUGAUCUAUUUUAUUUAUGUUCAGUGGAACACAACAAUGGAAUUCAUUAUGUGGAGAAAAAGAAAUUGAUUCCUCUCUAGGAACAUUUUGUUCAGUUUGCCUCACCAUGUUGUGAUUGACAGGAUGCUAGAAUGAAGACUGUGUUCUCAUAUACAAGGUGGUGUUUUUGAAAUCGUUGUUUGGAUGUCCUCAGGUUGUGUCGUCGUGUAUCGUUCCAGUCCUGUUCCCGAUUCUAGUUCCUGUUCGGUGUCCUGUGAUGUUCGUCUUGUCUCGUCUGGAGAUCCACAGUCACCUGUCUUCACCAGCACGCUGACCACCUAGUACCUGCACCACCAGCCCACCCGAGCUCCAUUACCACUUUGUGUGUUUGUGUUACUCUAAUAAAGACUCCCUUGC